rnacentral:rRNA from 1 species
GACGAACGCUGGCGGCGUGCCUAAUACAUGCAAGUAGGACGCAGUUGCGAACGGGUGAGUAACGCGUAGGUCACUACCUAUUAGAGGGGGAUAACUAUUGGCAACGAUAGCUAAUACCGCCUACUAGUAGAUGGACCUGCGUUGUAUUAGCUAGUAGAUAGGGUAAUGGCCUACCUACGCAACGGUACAUAGCCGACCGGAGAGGGUGAGCGGCGAGACUGGGGGUGGGGCGAGGCGCAGAGGCCUACGGGAGGCGAGAGUAGGGAAGCUUCGGAAAUGGGGGGAACACUGACCGGGCAACGCCGCGUGAGUGAAGAAGGGUGUCGGAUCGUAAAGAACUGUUGUUAAGAAAGCGGUAAUUACCCAGAAAGGGACGGCUAACUACGUGCAAGCAGCCGCGAUAAGUC